AGUGAACGCUGGCGGUAGGCCUAACACAUGCAAGUCGAACGGCAGCACAGUAAGAGCUUGCUCUUACGGGUGGCGAGUGGCGGACGGGUGAGGAAUACAUCGGAAUCUACUUUUUCGUGGGGGAUAACGUAGGGAAACUUACGCUAAUACCGCAUACGACCUACGGGUGAAAGCAGGGGAUCUUCGGACCUUGCGCGAUUGAAUGAGCCGAUGUCGGAUUAGCUAGUUGGCGGGGUAAAGGCCCACCAAGGCGACGAUCCGUAGCUGGUCUGAGAGGAUGAUCAGCCACACUGGAACUGAGACACGGUCCAGACUCCUACGGGAGGCAGCAGUGGGGAAUAUUGGACAAUGGGCGCAAGCCUGAUCCAGCAAUACCGCGUGGGUGAAGAAGGCCUUCGGGUUGUAAAGCCCUUUUGUUGGGAAAGAAAAGCAGCAGGUUAAUACCCCGCUGUUCUGACGGUACCCAAAGAAUAAGCAACGGCUAACUUCGUG
rnacentral:rRNA from 1 species